rnacentral:lncRNA from 1 species
GCCAUCCUGGAAGCGCGAAUCUGGUACCGGGACUUGGGGAGCGAGGGAUGCAACAUGGUGCAUCUGGGAGGCCUGCUAACUGGCUAACUUCUCCGGCGUUCCUCCCGGCCGAGGCGUGGGCACAGAAUAGCGCAGUUUGAAGACAUCAUUUUCCAGUUUUGGAGCCGACUAAUGAACUAGUUCUUAAGUGAAAGGCAUUUAACACGACUGUGCAUCUACAGGUACUAGGUUUCCAAGAUGCCUUUCCAGACUAAAACCCACACAUGUGAGCCGCUGGCCGGACAAACAUCUGGCACCUAACGUGGGGCUGAAAAACAGCAGAGGACAUUUGGAAGAAACACUGCUGGUUUGGAGCUCCAUAGAAGAAGAAAAUAAUUAAAGGAAAUUCAUACCAGAGAAGGAAGCUGCAGCUCCUCUCCUCUGGAUCUUUAUGACCACACCAGGAAGCAUUGUGAUCUGCAGUCACUGCCAACCUGCAGGAUAACACAGCUUGUUCCUCUGGGAACUGCCCUGCAGUGUCUGCAUACAGCCACCCUCGACCUGUCUGCCUGGUCUUUGCAACCUCUAGUGGCUGUUGUUCCACAAUGUGUUGUGAAGAGACCUGAAUGGUUUGCACCAAAACACAAACACAAACCAUUGGGAGAGUGAUUGGUGAAGUGAUGGACAUUUACUCGGGCAAAGGUAGUAAAGGUCUAUAUUAUGACAUUCUUCUGAUAUCGUCCCAGAUUCUGAAUCUGCCCGAUGUUUCCAGUUGAAUGAAUGUUUUCUCUAGAUUUUAUAGAACAGCGUCAAGACCCAUGAACCUUAACUUUGUUCUCAGACAAUUCAAUUAUUUUAGACUUGGCAAAUUGAUUUAACUUUAUGUCUACUACCUACUUAUACCUACUUGUAUCUUAAAUUAUUUGCAUGGACAUACAUAUUAAAUAUUCAACAUUAUAAACUC